rnacentral:lncRNA from 1 species
GGCUGGCUUGGGAACCUUACCCACUGCCCUUCCAACACCUGGAUCUGUGGGCAGCGGUCCCACAAAAUCCCCCUUGGGGCUCCCUGAGGAGGACUUGUGGCUGCCACUUCCACCAGGGCAGAGGACACAGGAGGGGCCAGCACUCCAAAGGGCUCUAGGGUGGGUCUUUCAAGGACAUCUGCAAAGCCCUGGUGGGGAGGGGCGGCGGGGCUGUCCCACGGAGGCGCCUGGGCCAGAGGCUCUUUGGAACUCUUGCACUUCUGAGUGGGGGACUGUCCAUGCUGCCCACAACCUCUAGACCAUGCAGCCUGCUCAUGGGUCCCUGGCAGAGAAUGCCCACUCCCCAGCAGACUCAGGGCAGCCCAGCGUAAGGACCCGCGAUCCCACGCCACCGCCCUGGGUUUACCACGGUCACCGCCACCUCUCUCACAGGGCCCCCGGGGGACCCAGCCGCGCCCGGCCUGGUGUCUGCACCGAGGGACCGCGUCUCACGCCCGGCGGCUCCUGCAGGGGAAGCCGUGGUCAGCGACUCACCACGAGGACAGGGCAGGGCGGCUGAGUGCGGAAGAGAAGCAUGAAGCUGGGGGCGGGGGUGGGGGAGGAGGAACAAAAGUUGCAUCUAGACAGAGGUGAACGAAACAAAACCAAAACCC